rnacentral:lncRNA from 1 species
CUUCGAUUAGCGGCGGAGUAAACAAUCAUUGCUGCGCAGUUUAUUGGUCGUAGUUACCGUUUCGCAGCGGCUGCCUCUCGGCUGCGUCGGUCGGCCGGUUUCUCUUGAAGAAGCCACACUGGAAAUACACAAAUCAUAGCUCCGAGGGUCCCCGGUUCACGAGAGAUUACGAGAAGACGUGAGGUUACAACGAGGGUGGAGGGGGCCAAUCGGGUCGAGGGAAGGAAAGAUAUUGAAAACCGUUCACCCGUAACAAUUUCAUUACCAAAGGAAACCAUCGUCAGCUCUGGGAUCCUGCUCCAGUUCCCCUGGAUUCCUCCGCUUCGUCCUCUUCUUCUUCUUCUACUUCUCGGUAAGGCCUGGGGUGGAUGCAUAUGCUAAGCGGCGAUACCCGAGAAAGAAGAGAAUCGGCGCAGCAUGAGACGGUUUCAUGGCGCCAUUUAAGGAGAGGACAUUUCGUUCUGUCACCGUUUCGUGUUCCGCUGUGGAGAGACCACCUACGCGCCUCCCGUUUCAGCUUUACGUUCGCCAUCUCCAACGGAGGAGACCUUUGUCUCGGAUGCAACGGA